UCAUACAAGCAACCUCUCUCUCACUUUUUCCCUCUCUCUCUCUCACACACAGUCUCAGACAUUUGACACACAACCUACAUUCUCACGUGCCCCCAGACACAUACACCCUUGAACACAUUCUGGCUGAUGACACGCUUGCUGCCUAUGUGCAAAAACACACACCAGCUCACGUAACACUCACACAUCCACACAUUCACACGCACUCAUACUUUCCCUCUCUGUCUCUCUCUCUCACACACACACACUCAGUCUCUCUCUCACCUGCACAACAUGCUUCUGGCAGAGCACCCGCAGCUGUACUAACCUGCCCGCCUUUGUUCCCAGGCCUGGCCUCAGCAGCAUUUUCCCAGGCCCAGGCUUCCUUUAGCUGCUGCUUCCCUGUUUCCCUCUGAGCCUGGUCACUGGGCCCUGACUCAACACCGGUACGUGUCAGGAGUCGUGCAGCGUCACAAGCCCUGCUGGAUGUGAACACGCUGUCCCGACAGUGUUGUUACCGGUUGUAAGACGCCUCUCCUACUGACUCCUCAUUCCUGCUGGCAACCUUUACUUCCAAAUAGUAAAGAAUCUGCCUGCAAUGCAGGAGACCCGGGUUCGAUCCCUGGGUCGGGAAGAUCUUCUGGAGAAGGGAAUGUCGAUCCACUCCAGUGUUCUUGCCUGGAGAAUCCCACCAACAGAGGAGGAGCCUGGCGGGCCACAGUCCACGGGGUUGCAAAGAGUCAGGCACAACUGAGCAACUAACACUUUCACUACUACCAUAUUGCUUUGGGUACAUCCUGUCUGGUGUUCCUAACUCCUGCAGAGGCUGCCAGUCUGCUUCCACCACAUUUUUCCCAUCCACACCCCCAGUGAUAUUCACCCACAUUUCUCCCAGCUCCCCAGCACCCCCACACUGCAGGAUCCAUCCUUGUGAAUGUCUCCUUGUGUGGCCUGUGUGAGAGUUUAUCUGAGAUAAGCAUCCCCUCUGAUCUAUUAGCUGUAUCCUUCAGGUCUUAUUGUCUGACUCUUUUUGACCCCAUGGACUGUAGCCUGAGAGGCUCCUCUGUCCAUGAGAUUUACGAGGCAAGAAUACUGGAGUUGGUUGACAUUUUCUUCUCCAG
ensembl:lncRNA